rnacentral:rRNA from 1 species
UACGAAGGGGGCUAGCGUUGUUCGGAAUUACUGGGCGUAAAGCGCACGUAGGCGGAUAUUUAAGUCAGGGGUGAAAUCCCAGAGCUCAACUCUGGAACUGCCUUUGAUACUGGGUAUCUUGAGUAUGGAAGAGGUAAGUGGAAUUGCGAGUGUAGAGGUGAAAUUCGUAGAUAUUCGCAGGAACACCAGUGGCGAAGGCGGCUUACUGGUCCAUUACUGACGCUGAGGUGCGAAAGCGUGGGGAG